GACAACGCCACCUAACGUUGCUCAUGUUCAGUACCGUGUUUGGCAAACAGAACGUUGAUGAUCCACGGUCAAACGAAAUGCACGAGCGAAAGGAUUGUCCCUCCUUCUGGCUCUAGGCGCAUUGCGACCAUCAGUAUGCAACGAGUAGAUACACGUAUACUUGUAGAAACCUGCCGCAGAACAAAGUGAAGAGGAAAGGGAAAACGAAAGCAUCGAAACUGGAAAGUGGAAGUACAUCUACCUUAACGAAGCUCAUUGUUCUCGACCUUCGGUGAAAUCCGUAAUGCUUCUCUCACACGUCUUACUACUUAAUUAUUGAUUUCAAACUCUAUCUAUUGACCAUUAAAAAAAAAAAAAAGAAACAAGGAAAA